UGGUGCUUUAGUACUCGAAUGCUCUCCACAGUUACCAGAUCUCAAUCCAAUAGCGCACCUUUGGGAUGUGGUGGAACGGGAGAUUUACAUCAUGGAUGUGCAGCCGACAAAUCUGCAGCAACUGCGUGAUGCUAUCAUGUCAAUAUGAACCAGACUCUCUGAGGAAUGAUUUUCCAGUACCUUGUUAAAGCUAUGCUAUGAAGGAUUAAUGCAGUUCUGGAGUCAAAAGGUGGUCCAACCCGGUACUGGGAAGAUGGCCGGCAAUUGUUUAGAGACCUUCAGGGAGUGGGGGUCCUCCUUCUUUCAGGAGGAAGAACAACAUCUCAGAAGGACACUGACAGUUACCGGAAGAAAAUACGCCUUCUGAAGAGUCCUGACCUCAACCCAAUUGAGAUGCUGUGGCCUCAAGACCUCAAAAGAGCAAUUCACGCCAGAUAUCCCAAAAUUAUUGCUGAACUGAAACAGUUUUAUGAAGAGGAAUGAUCCAAAAUUCCUCCUGACUGUUGUUCAGGUCAGAUCUGCAACUACAGGAAAUGUUUGGUUGAGGUUUUUGCUGCCAAAGGAGAAUCAACCAGUUAUUAAAUCCAAAGAUUCACAUACUUUUUCCACCCCUCACUGUGGAGUUUAACAUGUCGUGUUCAAUUAAACCAUGCAAAUAUAUAAUUGUUUGUGUCGUAUUAGUUUAAGACAAAAUGUGUUUGUCUAUUAUUGUGACUUAGAUGAAGAUCAGAACACAUUUAAUGACCCAUUUAUGCAGAAAUCAAAGUAAUCCCAAAGAGUUCACAUACUUUUUUUCUUGAUUUAUUCUUGGUUUAUUACCAAUAAAGCAUCUUUUCAGCUAACUUGUUUCAGUGUGUGUGUGUGUGUGUGCAU